GAUUUAAAAUAGCAAAUUUCUUGCUUUAUGAGAAGAAAGUAUUGUUUGUGGUAAAGGAAAACUGAUCUUUGUACCAGUGAUUCAAGCGAAGAGAAAAGGUAAUUAGACUAAAAAAUGUGUUUUUGUUAAUUAAAAGAAAUGGUAACCAUUCUCUUUUAAGUGUAUACUUUUUAAAGACCUGGGAUCGAGAAUGGUGCCGAUUUCCAUGUUUAUGCUUUCCAAAGCAUAUCUUUUGUGAUUAUUUUGUAUUAUUACCUUGUUGUAAAAUUAAUUACAUUGUACAUUAUCAACAAUAUUAUUAAGAAUUCGUACAGAAACGUUCGUUUUUUCAACGCCGCGAAAUACAUUAUAGUGAAAAGUAUUUUGCAUAUACCCUUUCCCAUGUUUUUUUGACAAUUCAAGGCUGUUUUAUCAGGUAGCCUGAUGUCAUGUGAUGACCACACGUAUUUUUGACAUCAGAAUUUUGACUUCAUGUAGAUACUUGUCCAAACGUGAAAAAAAUUUGCAGAUUUGAUUUGUUUGUUUUGAUGUGUGUGAAAAUCUUUUGAUAGUACGAUGUAAUUUGAAUAUUUUUUAUAAAAGAAAGUAAAUGGAUGAACGAAUGAAGUACAAAAAAUAUGACAGAACUGUAUACUUUAUAUAUUGGGCUGUAUUAUAAGAACAGACUUCCAAAUUUAGGGGUUGUACAGUAUGCCAUGAUGAAACAUGACGCCGAAAAUCAUCCUGCAAAAGAACAGCUGGUAAAUGACCUUCCACUUUCGACUAGCUCAAAUGGGAUUUACCUGAUUUGGAUAUAACAAGAAAAAAACCCGCAUUGUACCACUCUCAUACUUUUUUGUGUAAGUAACCCAGCUACUGACGAAAAACAUUUACAAGAUAUUCAUGUACCAUUGUCGAAUCUAAAAAUUCCUUACCUAAAUUCCUAUGUUUUUUUUACAAGCAAGUGAAAAUUCAUGAUCGGGUUGGCAUAUGCUUAUGGAAAAUACAAUCAGGCUUAAGUAUUCUUGCGUUUUACUUAUUAGAAAAAUAAAUUAAAAACUUGAACGUUGCAGUGAAAUGGUCCUGUUUUACUUCAAGGAGUAGCCAGAAAAUAUAUAAUUACCUAAGGCCAAAUUCAGACUUUAACAGACUCGUUAAUUAAAAUACCCACAACAUAAGAGAAACUUCUUGUCAGAAAAAGGCUCAGCAAUAUGCUUAAAAGUACUUGCCGAAUUUUAUUUAAUGCUUCUUGGUGGAAAUGAUACAGAAUUGUUUUCCUUAUCAUGCUAAAAAGUUUUCGUAUGCAGUUAAUUGAAAUGUUUUUUUUUCAAAAUUUUAAAAUUAGUUAUAUAAUGUAAAAAUAUUUUUGAAUUUUUCUUAAUCUAUUUUAGGCACCUACAAAAAGAUUUUCCCCCAUCCUGCUACAAACUUUUUUGUUAACUGCAACAGAACCUUAUACCCGAAAUCAUAAACAACCCUGAUGCACAAAACAUUACCUAUUUGGAUCGCAUGUUCUUUCUUGAAGUUUAGUGUUAGGACAGGAUUUGCCACCACAGAAAGAUGGUUUGUUUAUUAUCAUUUGUCUGUGUUGAGAACCAUUUUUUCCGCACCCUAUACAAUUGCUCCACUCAGUGUAUGAGUACGAACAAGGUAUAGGACAACAAGUUGUCUCGCACUCAGCGUAUUCCUCAAACACAUGCGGACAUUUUGGCAUACAUUUUUUAUCACUUUCGUCAUCUAUCAGAUGCCUGUUUCUGCUUCUUUUACUAUCAUCUCCGCAACUUUUUGAACAUUCGCUCCACAGAGACCAAGCAGACAACUUCUCUUCCGAACAGCUCUCACAAAAUGCUUCUUCUUGGGAAUAUUUUAUUAAAACCAAAAUGAAUAUUAACAAGCCUUUCAUUUUAAAAACAUGAAUGAUUCGUAUCCAAAUAGCAUAACUAGCUCGAGGUUUGACAUUUUGUGAUGCUAUUCAAAACAAAACAUAGUAAAGCAAAUAAAAAUGCAACCACGAACGACGUCACAAAAAUAAGAAAAAAACUCCUUCCUUCUCCCUCCUCCUUUUAUUCAUAUAUCUUCUACUGGAGGGUAAAAUUUUCCUCUCUCCUUUCCACCCACCCAUCUCGAUGUUUAUUAAACUCAAUUUUUUAAAAAAGAUAAACCAGGUGCCUAUAAAUUUUUUUGGCAGAUUAGCCCUACCCCGACGCCUGAUUUAAACAACCUUUUUGAUAUUGUGUAUAACCAUAACACGUGAUGAUGACGCUUCAUAUUCAUUGUAAGCAGCAGUCGUAAAAUUUUUAGAUUCCGUGCCUCGCAGAGACUUUGGUACUGAGAAACUGAAACAUUUGAAACUAAAACCUAAAAAAUUUUUACCGAGUACUUUCUUUCGCUUUUUGUGCUAUUGGAGACGAUCUUGAAAUUGGCAUCGUUGCUUUAUUUCAUGAAGUGGAAUAUUUUGACACGUGACUGAUCGAAUUUUUUGAUUUUUUUGAUUUUACUAAAUAAUCAUGAGAAAUUUCAAAAGAUAUUUUUCAUUUUUUCCAUUAGAGAUAUGUAAAACCUGUUACAUUUCUUUUUUGUACGUUUCUGCACCUUCAUUCUUUGUAUUAUUUUUUUCAACUGACAAUGACUUAAAAUUUUUCCUUUGCAAUAGCUAUUAAUAUUAAUAUAUCGAAAUGUCGUUAUGUGAUGUACAUACAGCAGUGACUCUAAUCUAUCUACUCUGAUACUUCGUAUCAUAAACACAAGAUACAGAGCAAGAUGUCCAGAAGCUCCACGUAGAGACCUGGCAACUAACCACCCAAUACCAACAACCAUUAACAAGCAAAUAGAAAAAAAGAAUCAGGAAGAAAACUAUGUUGAUUUUAGCCAUCUUCUUAUUCAGCAAGUAUUUUGAAGAACAUUUAGGGGUCCCUUUAUAUGUUUUUAGUUAGUGUCCAUCCCCCCGCGCUUAUCAAAAUAGGUCUAAAUUUAGACUAUUUAGAGAAAAACUUCCAUUUGUCGUUUGACCACUCAAAAUGCAUCUUAGUUUUAUUUUUAGUCUUCUUGUGUUUACGAUUAACGGAAUGAAAUGAAACAAUGAAACGGAAGUGUAAUUGGCAAGUUUCGGAAAAAUCACAACAUCCAUUCAGCUCAUGGUUGUAAUAACAAGGAGAAUAAUUGAGGUUAUAUAGUCAAUGAAAUUGCUAACAGCACAAAAUAUUUAAAACCAAAAAAAACAACAAAGUAAACAAGUAUUAUUCUGCUUAUAUAUCUAUCUAUCUAUUUGUUUGUUUCUUUGUUUCUUUUUUAAAUGGAGCCACCUAACAACUUGUCUAUUCUAGCAGUGGUCACAUAAGGCAAAUAACAUUUGUGCAGACCAAAAAUUUGUUUUUAGCUAACCGUUGUUCUGGCUUAGUAUUUUCAACAAUGGACAUGCGCAGUCAUUCUAAUAGGUUGAAAAUGUAGAUUUUAGUAUACUCACCAACUAAAACCGGUAAUUGACUUUUAGCAGAAUUUGGUAACAGAAAUGUAUGCGUCGCUAUUAUUCUUUGCUUGUCCUCCGUUGAUAAUAAGGAAAAGAUUUAUAUUUUUGUGUUCUUCAUAAAUGUCAAUAAAGCACACUGCGGCUAUGCGCCGUAAGUGACUAAAAAUAAUGGAAGUGAUUUCACAGAAAAUAUCAAUACUGUCGUCAUUAAUUUUCCAAAAAAAUCUGUAUUUUUUUAGCUAACUUUUUCUAUGAUUUUUUUAAUUUUGCUUAAUUUCGCAUUCCAUAUGUCAGAGGUCUUAGCUGAUGACUUUAAAUUAACUCUUUUUAAUGGGAAUUAUCUCUGUAAGAAUAAACAGGGUUAAGCAACCCAAAAAAUGAAGAAAUAUUUGAGGAGCUUACUUAGCUUAGAAUCUUUGACAUCCAAUAUUUUAUAGAGUCAGUUGGAGAAUGGCAAUUCAGCACAAGAUUCAAGCAAAAUUACAAUGUAUUUCCAAUUAAUUAAAACCUGAUAAUUCCUUUUUAGAUUGGAUUUCUACUUAACCAUAUCAAAGGGCUCAAAUCAAAAAUCGUAAUGCUUAUAGAACUUGUAUGAACUUGGCAGAAGUGCGGGAAUUGAAAAAGUAAAUUUUUUAAUUUGUAACCUAUUUUAUAACAGAACAAUUGCUACCUUUAAUUAUGAGGCCCGAAUUGAUAUUACAUUGUGUUCAAUCAUCGUGUUAAUUCGUGUCAUCGAACGAAGAGAAGGAAUCAAAGGUUAUUAGAAGAAAAAAAACAAUCCUGUGGUCGAGCUGGCAGGUGAUUUUCCCUCCUUGGAAUGAAAUGAAAUCAAAUUUGGGACAGUUAUAUGUCAUUAAAGAACAAAAUGGAAGAAAUACAUCUUCUCCUGGUCUGCCAACACACAGUUUCCAUUAAGAUACAAAUGAAGGAAGAGAAUCGAUAUGAAAUCUAAACAUGUUUUUUUCUAAUAAUAAUUUACAGUAACUAAUAUGGAGAAAAUGUAUAUUUGGACCCGAAAUAAGAUUUUAAAUCGCAAUGAAAUUCCGUUACAUAUUUUUAUAAGUUUUUUUUAUAUCAGAUUGAUACAAUCAGCAUAUGUACACAUGCGCGUACAUACAAGACCGAAUGAGUUUCCUUCCGCGAAAUAUUCAACUGGAAAACCUAUCUGUUGGGCGCUUUGUAAGUAGUUGGAGUUAGAGAAAUCGUUUUGUAAAUUAUACCAGCAGUAUAUACACCAAUGCUGAAUCCUAACGUUAGAGGGCAUCGAGGUUUUUGUUUGAGCCCACUUCAUAUUGUUACCGUGAUGGAAAAAAGCCUUUUGGAAUUUUGAGUUGGAUGUCUGUGGAAAAUUACAUAUGCUACAGAAGCCCCUUAAGACUAUUCUUCCAACAAAUUAUAUUUUCUGAAAAGAAAACAAUUAGAAUAUAACGAGAUAAAUAAAAUAAAACAUCUUCUCAAGACAAUAUUAUGACAUUAAAUCAGUUUACCACAAAAUUACGGUGGUUUUUUGAUGAAAACAACGAUGAAGUUAAAAUAAAAACAGGAUUUACCCAUGUAUGUUGUAUUGGAGUGCAUUUUACGUUACGAAAAGCAACGUAGCUACGUAACGUCUCGAAUAAUUAUCGCGCCCUUUUAGUUAAAAAAAAUAGUAAAUUCAGUCUGCUUCGAUCUACACUACAGAAAGCAUACCUUUAGAUCUUUAGGAUCAGAGCAUUUGGAAGACACGAAACCUUCCAAACAUUUUGCCUAUUUUAACAUAAAAAUAGCUGUAGAAACCUGAAUAGUACGCACAAUAUACAUUAUAAGAUAUUUUUUUUAUUGAAGGGAACAUCUAACACGUACUAGUAGGGUAGUUUUUGAGCCCGUCCUUAUUAACCGCAUUUCGUGUGUCUCGCUAUUGCGGUUACAAUUUUGCGUGACAGACAGACAGACCUAUACGGAUAUUAUUAAAAAGACUAGCCGGUAGCCCGUGGAAAAAUUCACGAGGUCGCCCGUCCUUUAUAUAUCGCAUAUUUUCCGUAGCACAAUGUUUUUUUUGCGCAAAAACAGACAAACGGAAUAUGGCUAUUAUUAAAGAGACAUAAAUCUUUGUAAGCAUAUUUAAAGCCUAAAUUAAAUUAUACCAAAUUAUGGCCCAAUGAAAUUUGUUUACAGUAACGCAAAAAGUAGAAUCGCAAAAUUAUGUUACAUGCAACCCUUUUACUAAACUUAACAACUUAAAGUUAAAGAAAGUAUGGAGGUCCAAUUCUGUUAAAACAAACCUAUAGUCUUCAAGUAAUUAUUAACCUGUCCUGGUAUAUUAACAGUGGGAGACUGUGAAUUAGAGUGUUUUUAAACGAAAGUAACCUAAAUAUUCAAGAUGCACGACGCAAAAACUAUUUUAGAUUUACAUUCACAAACAAGUUCUAUAUUUACCACUUCACUAAAAAAUAAUAUAUUUUUAUGCUAAAACAGACUCCAAACAAAUGUUGUAAAAAAUAAUACCAUGUUACUGCUUUAGAUAUAUUUCCAGAUACCUUAUUUUUCUUCUUUAUAACCUCUUCAAACAACAAAAGAAUAACUCUACAGGGGCUUUAAAUUUCGAAUUACAAUUCCUGCGUGGUCUAACCCAAGCUUUAUUUGCUUUUAAAAAAUGUGAUUAUCCAUCUAGAUAUUUUCAAAUAAACAGUGGAAUAAGCUAGGCGAAGGGAAUAAAAUAAAGUUAGUAAUAAUGCGUACAUUUUUUUGUUAUUUAGACGUGCUUCCCUUUCAACAUUUCCAAUAGCUAAUAUAAAAAGAAACCCUCGCGGUUUUUACACUCGUCCUGAGCAGAAUCUUGGUAUCUUUAGAAUAUACUUUCCAAUUACUUUGAUCU